rnacentral:piRNA from 1 species
UCAGAUGUGUAGCAAGCGGCCAGCCC